rnacentral:lncRNA from 1 species
AUGAUGCCGAACCAAAACUGGACUUCCGCCAUUUCCCCCCCUCUCACUCACCGUGAACAGACCAGCACGGCAGCGCCCAAGUCCUCCCAUAGAAAUAGUUUGGUUCUUAGGUGUUCUAACCAACACCAAAGUCUCUUCACUUCACCAAGGGAUCAACAAGUGAGGAUUUGUGGGUCACUUUUAUUUUUAACGGACCGGUGCCAGAAACACUGCCUCAGCAUUUAUACGUAUGUGCAUUUCAAACGAGGGUGCGUACAAUGCUGGAUUUGUUUCACGGCUCCUGUUGGAAAAAAAGGACCUAUUCCUAAAGUCCGUCAUCCACUCACUGCAGAGGGCAAAUCCCAGUUGCCCACAUGCAAGGAGGCUGUCAAACAGAGAAAUCACUGCAGACUGUUGGUACACAGACAUCUGCUGCCCAGCUCAGAAGUAAAGUACCUUUUGUUUUGAUGAGGUGAUGGUGAGGACAGCCACAGCUUCCAUCUG